rnacentral:lncRNA from 1 species
AAAACACUCAGCUUUCUUAUUGCCUAUUAAAGAGGACUAGACUCUGUAGUUAGGUUUAUGUGAAUUUGAAUAAUUGCGAUUCCUUCGAUCCUUCUUGCCCAAUGUCCAUGGAUUCACUCUUGCUCCCCGUCACCCAAUCACCCCCGGAAAUCUCCGAUGACAAUCGGCUGAAAUCGGUGCCGGAUAAGCUAUCGGAACUGGUACUGGAACCAUAUAUUGCAUCGGAUACGGAAUCCGAAUAUGAAUCCGAAUAUGAAUCCGAAUCCGAAUUCGUACUCGAAUCGGAAUCGGAGUCGGAACUGGUGCCGGAACAGGAACCAGAACUGUUACCGGAACAGGAUCCAGAACUGGUAGCGGAACAGGAACCGGAAUCUGAAUCGGAACCGGAAUUAGACCCGAGAUCGGAUUGGGAGUUAAUACCAAUUGAAAANNNNNNNNNNNNNNNNNNNNNNNNNNNNNNNNNNNNNNNNNNNNNNNNNNNNNNNNNNNNNNNNNNNNNNNNNNNNNNNNNNNNNNNNNNNNNNNNNNNNNNNNNNNNNNNNNNNNNNNNNNNNNNNNNNNNNNNNNNNNNNNNNNNNNNNNNNNNNNNNNNNNNNNNNNNNNNNNNNNNNNNNNNNNNNNNNNNNNNNNNNNNNNNNNNNNNNNNNNNNNNNNNNNNNNUAUACAUAAUAGUUUAUUCAUUCAUCAACUUCAUUAAUCUUUCUUUCUUAUUUAGGGUUCAAAUUUCGUGUUUGAUGAACUUGUCAAGGCAGCCUAUAGUGCAUUUCCCCCUACUUAUUACAUUACCUUUAAAGCAAACGAUGCUGACCAUCCUCAACCUUCCGACAGCCCUGCAACAACUUUCCAGGCCCAAGUCUGGAACAUGGUGGCUAGAAAGGGUCCGUAUAUGGUCAAGUCCUGUUCCAUUAAAACCUAACACCCGCACCAUGGUAUGGUGGUCCGAGGGACACAUCUUAGAUGUGCUAAAGGAGACCAUCACCUUCCAAAAAAAUUUCUUCAGAAAAAAAAAAUAGUUAUACUUAAAAUAAUAUUUAUCUAUAUGGUAUAUAUAACUAAUGUCUCACUAAUAAUAUUGAAUUGUGGAGUAGUUUAGUGGUAAAUAAGGUUUUUAUAAACAGUAUGUCCUUGGUUCAAGUUUCUAUGAAAUGAUUUUUGGACACCAAAAUUUAAUAUAAAAAAUUAAUUGAAAAUAUUUUGUUUUUCUUUGUUUAUUUUUUUUAAUCUAUAAAAUAUCAAGUUUGAAAUAUUGACUGUUCGAACUUGAUUAGACAAUUCAAAUGUGUUUGUGGGCAUGCAGUCUUAGGAUUGUGACUUCACCUAAUUGUGUACAUUCUAUUCUACGAUAAUCAGUUUUCUUAUAGACGUAAAAAGAAAGUUGAAAAGAAAAGUUUAAGAACUUCAAAUUGGUAGAAAUAUAUUGUUCUUUUGAACUAGUAUUUGAUUACGGUAUUGAAAAUUCACAAAUUCUAGAGUGGGGAACUGCCUUGUGUGGUCCAUUGUGAACCAAUUUUUUCAACCAUUUGCUUAAAUUCAUUUUCAUAAUCAUAUUAUGAUUACUUUGCAUCAUAUGCAUUUCUUUCNNNNNNNNNNNNNNNNNNNNNNNNNNNNNNNNNNNNNNNNNNNNNNNNNNNNNNNNNNNNNNNNNNNNNNNCUUUCCCUAACCAUCUCUCACUCACACAUCUUUAAUCGUUUAGUGGAACACGAAGCUCCGACAACAACUCUCCAUCCUAUGUUCUUCACACCAUUUCUUCUAGUGUCAUAUCCCUUUCGAAAUCACCAUUAAUGACCAACAAGAUGAGUCACAAUUUGUCACACGUUGGGGAGCCAAGUGUGAUUGUUCCUCAAGAGCUUGUCAAGGGUGAGAAUUUGAAUUAGGAAAUGCAAAUAGAGACAACAGAGGCAUUUGGGAAAACUGAUUUUCAUCAACAUACUACCAUAAAGAGACUACCUGCAAAAGAAAUAUUUGGUCUUUAGAUGAGUUUUGCAACCAAUCUCUGAUAUAUCUUAGGAUUAUAAUAAGGCUCCCUCUCUCGACUUGUUAGCAAUUUUUUGUUUAGAUCCAUGAGGCUAUCAACUGAUUUACAGCCACAUUAAAUGGGUAUAAUUAAUAUAUUAAAAUCAUUUCAUGUUCUCCUAGCUAAGAAUAACAGACAAAACUUGAAUCUAACCCAAUUAAAUGAGAAAGUCUGUAGAAAUUAGGAUGGGUGGGAAAGGUGCUCAUUAAGUUGGGUCCAUUAUUAUGCUUAUUUUGAUACAAAUAGUUUUAGUAAAAAAAAUAAAUAAAAAAUAUAAAAAAAAAAGGAAGUGAAUUGAAUUGAAAAAAGAGCGAACAGAGUGUAGCAUAUAUUCUAUAUUAUUAAUAACGGGAAUAUACUCUGUAGCAUAUACAGUACCAUUUUUAUUCUUAACAGUUUUUUUUUUAAAAACUACUUUUUUAUAACUUCCACAAAUGUUAUUUUUUAACGACAAAAUCUGCAAAAAAUUAUAUAAAAAAAUACAACGAAUUUAUGAAUAUAUUUUAUCACAAUAAAAAAUGCGGACAGAGUGUCUUCUUUUAAUUGAAUUAAAUAUAUUUUUUUGAAUUAAAUUGAUGUGGAAUUAAGAAUCAAGUCCCUACCUUUAGCAAGAAGUGAAAGCAUAUUAAUUCUUUGUAGACUCAAAUGGGCCCAAUACUUUCAUAUAUUGGUGUUGUUAAUAUAAAUGAAUAAAUUGUAAAAAAAAAUGAAUAAAAAUAUCCUUGUGCUGGUGUUUUACUUGAUGUCACUAAUAAUAACCAUGUAGCUUAAAGAAAACAAACCGCUUCUUAUUUUCGUGUUGCCCAAACAAAUUAAGAACAACCUUAUUAUAUCACAAACCAAACAAAAGCUAGAAACAACUGACUUUUAAGUCACUUUUUUAUAUGGUACAAAAUAAAAUAUAUUCAAGCUUUCCUAGUACGAUGCUUACUUAAUGUAAUAAGGUUAAAGGAAUUGACCAUGACUUUAAUAAACAUAUAUAGAUGUUUAUAUUGUGCUUCGAAUUUCUGUUUGUCAAAGAAACUGGUGCCUACUUUAUUUCUAAUCAAAUUAUUACAUACAAGAACAAUACUUCCUCUAAUUUUUUUUAUAAGAGGAUUGAAUUAUAAUUUGAUCCAAAAAAAAGUUGAUGUAAUUGAUCUAUCAUAUAAAUCAAAUACAUUAAUGAAAGUUUGUAAGCAUUUACAUAUACAUUGAAACUUUUUCAUGAUUUGAAGUUUAAUUUAGGAUGUAAUUAAUUACCAUUAAUCUUCCCUUUUAAGAAAGAAAUAUCAUUCGGAAAUUAAAACUUAUGUCACUCUAAACGUGUAAUCACACUCAAUCCUAUUAAAAGUAUUUAUAAUGGAACUCUUCAAUUUGAGUUUUUAAAUAGAUAUCCGGUGUACACAUGGCUUAUUUAAUAAUUUUUUAAUUAUAGUUUUUAAUAAACAAAAUUUACUCCAAUCCAACACCUCAAACAAAAUUAUUAAAUAAAUAUGUCAAUUAAUUCUAUAUUAUGAAAUUUCAACAACAUUUAUUUAUUUUAAUACAAAUUAUAGAAUAGAAUCUGCAAAAAGUUAAAAAAGAGAGGGUGCUUCCAUAGCCAACCUCUACUAUAAACACCAUUGUUUUACUUCAUAAUAGAGUUGUCUAUUUGGUAAAGGGGGUCCCCAUUCUGAAUGCUCUAAGUCUACUAUAACCACCAAAAGAACCGUAGCAACGUUGGUCGAAGCAAAACAUAUUUUGUAAGCGUAUUCUUUGAACCAAGUAGAUCGGAGGUUGCGGUAUGGCCCAAGAUUUUAAUUUAUUAUUUUUUAAAAUUGUCAAAAGUUAAUCGUUAGUAAUUGCCAAAAAGUUAGUGGGUGGGGAUCAUACUCUAGUAUAUUAAAUUUGAGCAAGUAUUUAAUAGUUUUUUUUUUUUUUAUACGUAAGUGUUAGUAAAUUAAUAGUUAUAUUGAUUUCUCGAAUUUAAAUUUGAUAUCUUUUUCUUAAAAUUUAUACAGCAUCUCUUAGUUUAUCAACUGAACUAUCUACAUGAAACAUGUAUAUUCAAUGUAAAAAAGUAGAUGUUGUAUAUUCAAUGGUUUAAGGUACUAGAGCAAUGUGACCAUCUGCCACACUCCCUCAUCACCCACCAUUGACAUUAGAAGUGAUGCUUUGACAUGAUUUACUCUUUACAUCAAAAGUCUUUUCGACAUUGGUGUGCAACGAUGUGUCUUGUUGAUGUGGUGCCAAUGACGUAAGUGUACUUGGACGAAAAAACUUCUAAUUGAGGGAAAGCAUAUCCACAUGAAUAAAUGGACUCGCCUAUUAAUUUCUUACAUAUAAAUCAAUACUUCAAAAUCAUCAUAAAAAAAGUAUUAAUUUAUAACUAUUAAUUUACUUCAAAACCAUCAUAUUAAAUCUAUAUUUAAUUUCUUACAUUUAUUUUAGGUUUCAUUUUGGUCCUCUAUAUUUUAAAAGUUUCAUGUUAGUACUAUUGAGAUAAAAAUCUUUUUGAUAUAUAUUUUAAUUACAACAAACCUUAUGAAAUAAAUGAUUAAGCUUUAUGAAUGAUGAUCUACUAAUGAUUGCACUUGAGUUUCAUUUAAGGAAUAUGAAUUGCACAAGUUGAUAAACAAAGAAUCAUUCACAUCAACAAAUGCAUAAGUAUCUACUAAAUUAUAAAAUAAUCUCAAAAGGAAUAUAUCGCAUGUCAAUCAUUUAAGAGAAUGUUUAUUGCAUCUUCAAGAUAAUAUCUUCAUGAAAAAAUAUCCAAUACAUUCAUACCUAUACUAAAGUAUCUCAAGGAUACUGGACAAGACACAACAUGUGUAACACUAAGAUAAAUUGUAUAAAUUAUUGUUUCAACAAAAUAUUUAUUUUCUCAUAUAGAAGACAACAUUCUCAAUUGUUAUGAAAUAAUAUUCUCAUGAUAAAUAAGUUCAUUGCACUCAUAAAUAUUCAUAUCAAUUCUGCAAAAUGAUAAGAAUCAACUUUGAAGAAAAAAUCAUUUCAAGAUUGAGUCAUUUAUUAAGUCAUUUGUUUAAAAAAAUGAUGGAAGAACAUUCACCAGAAUUUUCUAAUUGUUCUAUUAAAGAACAAUUGACAAUAAAGAUCUUUUUGAAAGGACAAUAUGCAGUAAACUAGUUGACUUUUCUCACAUAGGAUUUCCAACAUUUAAUGAGCAAUUAAAAGUCAAGAUUUGAAUGUCUACUUGCAAAAAUAAACAUGCAUAAUGUUCUGCAGAUUGAUCUGUAGAAUCAUACCCAGAUUGAUUUUCAUAUUGAUGACAGAUUGAUAAGAAGAACAUUCUGGUUAUUCCCUAUUAAAGACAAAGUCAAGACAUAUCAUUUUCCACAGUUCAAACCACAAGUUAAAAAGUGUCAAGACUGCUCAAAUUAGCGGUCAAGCCCAUAACUCGAACUAAAGGCCCAAAAGAUGUUUAAUGACCAGGCUAAAGGUCCAUCACUCACUCAUGCAUGUUUUCCAUCUUACCUAAAAGCAAGAACAUUCUGAAUUUGUCAAGAAUGAUCUAAACAACAAAAUAAACAUGUGUUUAAUUAUUUUAAAACAAAUAUGACACUUGGCUGAUGUGUUAACGAAUAUAUUAAGUUUAAAUUGAAUAUUCAAAGCCUCUAAUCAUCUAUAAAUUGAAGAUAAAUUGGUAGAUGAAAACAAUAGUUCAAUUUGCAAAUCUAUCAACACGUGUUUAAGUAAGAACAAGUCAAAAACUCUUGAAGUAAACUCUAGUUUUCUUCAUUAUAUGUGUGAAUCAUUAUUUAUUAAGUUUAUCGUUAUUUAUCUCAAACAAAGAGUUGAGAACCAUUAGAUUCCAAACAAUUUUUUAUCAUACACAUUAUUUGUAAUUGUAGUCUAUCUUUUAUGUUAAAUUUAGUGUGUUUGUAAAAAUUAUUUCAAGGUUGAAAGGUGAUUGUAAAAUAUGUAAAUGAGAACAUUUUGAUUCUGAAACAUAUAGUGAAAAUCUCACAGUUGUGAGGACUCGACUGGCCUGAGUUUUGUGGACCAAUAUUUUUUUUUGUGAUCUUUAUAUCCCUUAUCUUUAAAUAUUUGCACAAAUUACAUUUUACUUAUAACUAAUCUGUUUUAUUUACUUCUAACUUAUCCUGAACAUUCUUGAUAUUUUAUUUCAAUUAAGAUUGAUCUUAAAUAAAUUUAAAUUAAACACACGAAUCAAUUUUUUUUAAAGGAUCACAAUUUAAACCGAUUUUUUGUUAUUGACAUUGCUACUUCAAGUUCAUUACGUAUAUACUUAGGUUAAAGUGAAAUUAUUAUUAUUAUUAUUAUUAUUAUUAUUAUUAUUAUUAUUAUUAUUAUUAUUAUUAUUAUUAUUAUUAUUAUUAUUAUUAUUAAUUAGAGAUUUGGUUACAUUCAUUGGUGAUGUUUAUGCUACAAAAUGGAAUUUUAGAUUCCUAACACAAGGGACCAACAAAUCUUAAUAUAGGAACGUGAAAUACCAAUUUAAAAAAAUUAAAAGCUAAUAUAUUAAAAUAAAACCUAAAUUAGAUAUAAGAAAUAGAAUAUAAAAUUAAGACUCUUUAAAUCGUAGCAUACGGACAUACCUAAGUUCUCCUCUAAGUCAAGGUUCCAAUAAGCUAUUACUUAAAUAUCGACAUCCAAUUCAUCUUUUAAGAUGAAGUCGCAAAGGCAAGAACAAUUGAAUAGUACAUAAAUUUAAAUUAUCUCAUGAAUUUUACACAAGUAUUACCAGUAUAACUCUUAAAUAGUUAAAUAUUAUCCAUAUGAAUUAAUUGAAGAUUGUAGUAUCGUAUCAUUGUUUUUUGUCGUAACGAAUUGAGGAAUAAUGUUAUUAAUAAAUUUACACAUGUAAAGUCGAAAUAGGAAAAAAUGUUAUUAAUAAUUUUUAGAUUGUGUGUUGUGACUGCGUGUGACUGCCUGCUUUGGCGGUCCACAUUUCUUUGUUUUUUUUUAAAGAUAUUAGAGACUUAAAAUUGGUAACAAUUUAUAGGUCUUUUGAACUAGUAUUUGAUUACAAUGUUGAAAAUUCCCUAACCAUUCUGACCCACACAUCUUUAAUCAUUUAGUGAAACACAAAGCUCCGACAACAGCUCUCCAUCCUACGUUCUUCACACCAUUUCUUCUAGUGUCAUAUCUAUUUUGAAAUCACCAUCUAUGACCAUCAAGAUGAGUCACAGUUUAUCACAAACAGGGGAGCCAACUGUGGUUGUUCCUCAAGAGCAUGUCAAGGGUGAGAUUUGAAUUAGGAAAUGCAAAUAGAGACAACAGUGGCAUUUGGGAAAGCUGAUUUUUAUCAACUUACCAUCAUAAAGAGACUACAUGCAAAAGAAACAUAUAGCCUUGUAAUAGUGAGUUAGAUGAGUUUUCCAACCAAUCUUUGAUAUCUCCCAUGAUCAGAAUAAGGUUCCCUUCUCUCGACUUGUUAGCAAUUUUUGGUUUAGAUCCAUGGGGCUAUCAAUUGAUCUACAGCCACAUACCCGUUUCUUUAACUAUGUGUAAUGCAUACAUCCCUUUUGAAAUGAUAAUCCUAUUCUUUAAAUGACCAACUUCACUUCCAAGAAGAUAUUUGUAACUCCUCAAAUCCUUUGUUUGGAAAAAGCUAAACGAAGUGCAAACUGCUGCCAUGUCAGAGACAACCGAGACUUAUUGUGACAAUAGUGCGCAAUAGGAAAAGUUGGAGUGAGAUCAAACCAACAAUUUAGGAGAUUUUGAUUGAGGAAAAUGAGAAAUGCUCGAGCUGUUUACAUUCAUCAUUUUCUCUAUAUAUAUACUCUUUAUGAUAAAUAAAAUUUGAAUUUACAAGAAAAUUAAUGAUAUUACUACUGCGUCAGUGCAUGAAUGUUAUAAUACCUAGGUACAUGGCUAACUACAUACGUAACACAGGUUACUGGCUCUACCUUCAACGAGUCACAACUCACAAUACAGGUUAUGCAAUGUAACAAAUGCUAGUAAUCAAAUGUGAGAUUAUUCCCAUAGCUUACCUUACUGAUUCUUUAUUUCUUUUGCAGGAAAUCAUGUCCAUUGCAUUGCAUCCACCUGUUGUGAAACUAGUUUUGGUUGUGUUAGACUGAUAUGUCGAGGUGAAAGCGUGGACAGACUUUGAUCCGGGUGUAUUUUAAUGUGUUGAUGUAGCAGUGGUUCAUCACGUUUCUCAUUUAAUUUUCUUUUGUAAGUUUAUUUCCAAGAGGGAAGCAUUAUCAGUUAGCAAGUAUACUUUUUUAAUUUUUUGUACCAAAUUACGAAAUAAAUUUAUUUGCCAAAGAUUAGUAAAAAAAUAGAAAAUAAUUUAGUUAUUUAAAUGAAAAAGAAAAUAAUUUUUAGUUUAUAGUUAGGAGUAGAAGGUCAAUUUGAAUAUUUAAAGCAUCCUUAAAUUCAAUUUUCAAAAAUGACUAUUAUCAGAUUUUUUUUUGCACUAAUUUAAUUUACAUUUUAUAUAACGAAGUAAAAAAAUGAAUUUUUGUGACAACCAAUUAAGUUCUAUAUAUUAAUUUUAAAAAUAAUUUUUUAUAUUUUACUAUAUCCUAAAAUUUCUUAGUUUCAUCACAGUUUGUCAAAAUUUUCUUAUAUUUUUAGUUUAUCAAAAAAAUUACACUGAGCACAAGAUUAAUCAUCUAAAAUUAAUAGUAAAUAAUAAUAGUAGAAAAUCAAAGUUAAACACAUACUGUGUUAUCAUAUUGUCUUACAUUAGACAUCUCUCUAAUUGUCAUUUGAUCUAUAUAAUUAUUAUGUAACAUCUCUCUAAAACUAUGUAAUCAUAUUAAGUUAAGGGACCACAUAUGAUAUUUAGCCUAAAAAAAAGGAAUAGAUGCAUAGCUUAAAAGAGAAAAAGAAAAUAGAUGCUAGCUUAAAAGAGAGAAGUUAAAUUUUAUAAUCUAGACACCGUCUUGUUUCUCUAUGCCAGAGAUGAUCCAAGCGCGCUCAACUAACAGUCUUCCAUGACAAGGUGCUCGGUCAAAUUCGAAUUUGAAGUAACCUUGAUCACCCCAUUUGUCUUGAGAAUUCCUCACCAACCAAUAUUUCUUGAAUUUGUUAUUUUCUAUUUGCUGUCCUCACCAACCAAUACUUCUUCAAUUUGUUAUUUUCUAUUUGCUGUCCUCACCAACCAAUACUUCUUCAAUUUGUUAUUUUCUAUUUGUUGUCCGUAUCCCACAAUAAUCAUUCGAUGUCUUUCUUCUGGGCGAACAUUAAAAUCUGUUGCAUUAUAUACCAUCCUAUAAUUACAGUGAAAUUAAAUUAACUCAUUUUUAAAUUGAUAUACUAAUAACUAAAUUCAUUCAAAAACUUUGACUUACCCCUCCAAUUUAUCUAAUGCAUUCCUAACCGCCAAUUCUAAUCUAAGAGUUUGUUUUUUUCUUUGACUGAUAUUUCAUCCAGAAGAUUUAUAUAUUGGUCAGUGGUGAUCCUUAAAAAUAUCUAAAUAUACAGGUGCAGAAAAAACAAAAUCAAAAUAAGGUGUAUAAUAAAAAAAGAUUUACCAUAUGAGAAAAACAAAAUCAAUAUAAAGUGGACAAUAAUAAAGAUAAAUAAUGAGAAAGAAAAAAAAAAAUUACCGGCAUAAAUGUUCCCACAUAUGGACAAUCUGUUCUAAUAAAAAACCAUUCUCCCUCACCCAGACAAUUGUCUCAGACACAGUACUACCGUCACGAUCUUCUUCGGUAGUCUUUAUUAAACGAUUAUAGAUAUCUUGCGGAGAUAAUAUAAUCCAACGUCCAUUUUCCAUGUGGUAUAAUACCUCUACCACACCGCAUAUCGCAAAAGCAAAACAACAACCUACAGGGUUUAAAUGUGUAUAUAUAUAUAUAUAUAUAUAUAUGGAGUUGUUAAUAUAUAUAAAUCUAACAAUAGUAAUAGUAAGUGUAUAUUAAUCACCUACACACAUUAUUUUUAUUUGAAAUACACUUAUUUAAAACAAUUUUAAAUAAAAGACAUGGUUGUGACUAUAGAUGUCUGUAUAAGUACUCUAUACGUGGCGUUGAAAACUCCCGAUCUACUCCGGCGGUGCGGUUACACCGGUCGACUUUAUCGGAGGUGAGUGUUUAUGAAAAAAAAAUCAUCUUUUUCGUUUUACAAGAAAAAUAUUUUAUUUUAAAUGACAAAAUGAAAAUGGAGUUUUUUUUAAGAUGAAAAUGGAGGAAGAUGGAAAUGGCAAAUGGAAAUGAUUUUUUUAAAAGAUGGAGAUGAAGUUUUUUUUAAGAUGGAAAUGAUUUUUUUAAAAGAUGGCGAUGAAGUUUUUUUUAAGAUGGAAAUGGAAUAAGAUGGAAAGGGUAGAAGAUGGAAAUGAAGUUUUUAAACAUGGAAAUGAGAAGUUUUUGUUAAUGGAAAUGGGAGAAGAUGAAAAUGUUUGAGAAUGGAUUUAGAAGUGUUUAUAAAGUUGUGUUUUGUUGGUGAAAAAGAAAUGAGAGUGAAAAAUUACUACAAGAAAGGUUGUAAGAAAAUGUCUUUGAGGAAGUUCAUGGGUCAAAAUUUUGCAACACAAGUUGUUUUACGUGGAAAAUUUAAUCUGGAAACAAAUAUAACUUUUAUUUUGAUUUCUUCUCUAUAGUUGUUUAGUAUGUUGUACCUUUUGCAAUAAGUUGAAGUCACUUAUUGAAUACCUCAUUAAAAUUUAUAAACAAGUAGUGCAUUACAAAAGAAUAAAAAGUCAAGAAAAAAAUGUUAAACAGACAAGAAACUCAUACUACCAUAAUAUUCUCUUCUUCUAAAGUCUUUAUGAAAUUAAAAAAAAAAACAAAAAAAAAGGUUUUUUUCUCUUUUAUUGGUGUUUGAGCAUAAAAAUAGAUGAGAGGGAGUAGAAAAAGAGAGAGAGUUUCUUUGUGUUUAUAGUUUUGUUUUUAAUUUUUUUUAUUUUAUAUUUAAUAGAUGGAAGAAAAAACAAAAGGUUCUUUUUUGUAUGUGAGAUUUUAAGAGAUUUGAUUUGAUAAGUGAGAGUGCUGUAGAAAACAAAAGUAAAAUUUGUGUGUGAGAUUGUAUUAUAAGAAAUUUAAUAAUCAAGUAAGACUAUUGUGAAAAGAGAAUUAAGAGUGUGACUAUAGAUGUCUGUAUAAGUACUCUAUACGUGGCGUUGAAAACUCCCGCCGGUCGACUUUAUCGGAGGUGAGUGUUUAUGAAAAAAAAAUCUUCUUUUUCGUUUUACAAGAAAAAUAUUUUUUUUUUUAAAUGACAAAAUGGAAAUGGAGUUUUUUUUAAGAUGAAAAUGGAGGAAGAUGGAAAUGGCAAAUGGAAAUGAUUUUUUUAAAAGAUGGAGAUGAAGUUUUUUUUAAGAUGGAAAUGAUUUUUUUAAAAGAUGGCGAUGGAGUUUUUUUUAAGAUGGAAAUGGAAUAAGAUGGAAAGGGUAGAAGAUGGAAAUGAAGUUUUUAAAGAUGGAAAUGAGAAGUUUUUGUUAAUGGAAAUGGGAGAAGAUGAAAAUGUUUGAGAAUGGAUUUAGAAGUGUUUAUAAAGUUGUGUUUUGUUGGUGAAAAAGAAAUGAGAGUGAAAAAUUACUACAAGAAAGGUUGUAAGAAAAUGUCUUUGAGGAAGUUCAUGGGUCAAAAUUUUGCAACACAAGUUGUUUUACGUGGAAAAUUUAAUCUGGAAACAAAUAUAACUUUUAUUUUGAUUUCUUCUCUAUAGUUGUUUAGUAUGUUGUACCUUUUGCAAUAAGUUGAAGUCACUUAUUGAAUACCUCAUUAAAAUUUAUAAACAAGUAGUGCAUUACAAAAGAAUAAAAAGUUAAGAAAAAAAUGUUAAAAAGAGAAGAAACUCAUACUACCAUAAUAUUCUCUUCUUCUAAAGUCUUUAUGAAAUUAAAAAAAAAACAAAAAAAAAAGUUUUUUUCAUUCUCUUUUAUUGGUGUUUGAGCAUAAAAAUAGAUGAGAGAAAGUAGAAAAAGAGAGAGAGUUUCUUUGUGUUUAUAGUUUUGUUUUUAAUUUUUUUUAUUUUAUAUUUAAUAGAUGGAAGAAAAAACAAAAGGUUCUUUUUUGUAUGUGAGAUUUUAAGGGAUUUGAUUUGAUAAGUGAGAGUGCUGUAGAAAACNNNNNNNNNNNNNNNNNNNNNNNNNNNNNNNNNNNUCUUUUUCGUUUUACAAGAAAAAUAUUUUUUUUUUAAAUGACAAAAUGGAAAUGGAGUUUUUUUUAAGAUGAAAAUGGAGGAAGAUGGAAAUGGCAAAUGGAAAUGAUUUUUUUAAAAGAUGGAGAUAAAGUUUUUUUUAAGAUGGAAAUGAUUUUUUUAAAAGAUGGUGAUGAAGUUUUUUUUAAGAUGGAAAUGGAAUAAGAUGGAAAGGGUAGAAGAUGGAAAUGAAGUUUUUAAACAUGGAAAUGAGAAGUUUUUGUUAAUGGAAAUGGGAGAAGAUGAAAAUGUUUGAGAAUGGAUUUAGAAGUGUUUAUAAAGUUGUGUUUUGUUGGUGAAAAAGAAAUGAGAGUGAAAAAUUACUACAAGAAAGAUUGUAAGAAAAUGUCAUUGAGGAAGUUCAUGGGUCAAAAUUUUGCAACACAAGUUGUUUUACGUGGAAAAUUUAAUCUGGAAACAAAUAUAACUUUUAUUUUGAUUUCUUCUCUAUAGUUGUUUAGUAUGUUGUACCUUUUGCAAUAAGUUGAAGUCACUUAUUGAAUACCUCAUUAAAAUUUAUAAACAAGUAGUGCAUUACAAAAGAAUAAAAAGUUAAGAAAAAAAUGUUAAAAAGAGAAGAAACUCAUACUACCAUAAUAUUCUCUUCUUCUAAAGUCUUUAUGAAAUUAAAAAAAAAAACAAAAAAAAAGGUUUUUUUCAUUCUCUUUUAUUGGUGUUUGUGCAUAAAAAUAGAUGAGAGGGAGUAGAAAAAGAGAGAGAGUUUCUUUGUUUUUAUAGUUUUGUUUUUAAUUUUUUUUUAUUUUAUGUUUAAUAGAUGGAAGAAAAAACAAAAGGUUCUUUUUUGUAUGUGAGAUUUUAAGGGAUUUGAUUUGAUAAGUGAGAUUGCUGUAGAAAACAAAAGUAAAAUUUGUGUGUGAGAUUGUAUUAUAAGAAAUUUAAUAAUCAAGUAAGACUAUUGCGAAAAGAGAAUUAAGAGUGUGACUAUAGAUGUCUGUAUAAGUACUCUAUACGUGGCGUUGAAAACUCGAGAUUGUAUUAUAAGAAAUUUAAUAAUCAAGUAAGACUAUUGUGAAAAGAGAAUUAAGAGUGUGACUAUAGAUGUCUGUAUAAGUACUCUAUACGUGGCGUUAAAAACUCCCGAUGUACUUCGGCGGUGCGGUUACACCGGUCGACUUUAUCGGAGGUGAGUGUUUAUGAAAAAAAAAAUCAUCUUUUUCGUUGUACAAGAAAAAUAUUUUUUUUUUAAAUGACAAAAUGGAAAUGGAGUUUUUUUUAAGAUGAAAAUGGAGGAAGAUGGAAAUGGCAAAUGGAAAUGAUUUUUUUAAGAGAUGGAGAUGAAGUUUUUUUUAAGAUGGAAAUGAUUUUUUUAAAAGAUGGCGAUGAAGUUUUUUUUCAGAUGGAAAUGGAAUAAGAUGGAAAGGGUAGAAGAUGGAAAUGAAGUUUUUAAACAUGGAAAUGAGAAGUUUUUGUUAAUGGAAAUGAGAGAAGAUGAAAAUGUUUGAGAAUAGAUUUAGAAGUGUUUAUAAAGUUGUGUUUUGUUGGUGAAAAAGAAAUGAGAGUGAAAAAUUACUACAAGAAAGGUUGUAAGAAAAUGUCUUUGAGGAAGUUCAUGGGUCAAAAUUUUGCAACACAAGUUGUUUUACGUGGAAAAUUUAAUCUGGAAACAAAUAUAACUUUUAUUUUGAUUUCUUCUCUAUAGUUGUUUAGUAUGUUGUACCUUUUGCAAUAAGUUGAAGUCACUUAUUGAAUACCUCAUUAAAAUUUAUAAACAAAUAGUGCAUUACAAAAGAAUAAAAAGUUAAGAAAAAAAUGUUAAAAAGAGAAGAAACUCAUACUGCCAUAAUAUUCUCUUGUUCUAAAGUCUUUAUGAAAUUAAAAAAAAAAAAACAAAAAAAAAGGUUUUUUUCAUUCUCUUUUAUUGGUGUUUAAGCAUAAAAAUAGAUGAGAGGGAGUAGAAAAAGAGAGAGAGUUUCUUUGUGUUUAUAGUUUUGUUUUUCAUUUUUUUUAUUUUAUGUUUAAUAGAUGGAAGAAAAAACAAAAGGUUCUUUUUUGUAUGUGAGAUUUUAAGGGAUUUGAUUUGAUAAGUGAGAGUGCUGUAGAAAACGAAAGUAAAAUUUGUGUGUGAGAUUGUAUUAUAAGAAAUUUAAUAAUCAAGUAAGACUAUUGCGAAAAGAUAAUUAAGAGUGUGACUAUAGAUGUCUGUAUAAGUACUCUAUACGUGGCGUUAAAAACUCCCGAUGUACUUCGGCGGUGCGGUUACACCGGUCGACUUUAUCGGAGGUGAGUGUUUAUGAAAAAAAAAUUAUCUUUUUCGUUUUACAAGAAAAAUAUUUUUUUUUUAAAUGACAAAAUGGAAAUGGAGUUUUUUUUAAGAUGAAAAUGGAGGAAGAUGGAAAUGGCAAAUGGAAAUGGAAAAUGGAAAUGAUUUUUUUAAAAGAUAGAGAUGAAGUUUUUUUUAAGAUGGAAAUGAUUUUUUUAAAAGAUGGCGAUGAAGUUUUUUUUAAGAUGGAAAUGGAAUAAGAUGGAAAGGGUAGAAGAUGGAAAUGAAGUUUUUAAACAUGGAAAUGAGAAGUUUUUGUUAAUGGAAAUGGGAGAAGAUGAAAAUGUUUGAGAAUGGAUUUAGAAGUGUUUAUAAAGUUGUGUUUUGUUGGUGAAAAAGAAAUGAGAGUGAAAAAUUACUAAAAGAAAGGUUGUAAGAAAAUGUCUUUGAGGAAGUUCAUGGGUCAAAAUUUUGCAACACAAGUUGUUUUACGUGGAAAAUUUAAUCUGGAAACAAAUAUAACUUUUAUUUUGAUUUCUUCUCUAUAGUUGUUUUGUAUGUUGUACCUUUUGCAAUAAGUUGAAGUCACUUAUUGAAUACCUCAUUAAAAUUUAUAAACAAGUAGUGCAUUACAAAAGAAUAAAAAGUUAAGAAAAAAAUGUUAAAAAGAGAAGAAACUCAUACUACCAUAAUAUUCUCUUCUUCUGAAGUCUUUACGAAAUUUGGAAAAUUUAAUCUGGAAACAAAUAUAACUUUUAUUUUGAUUUCUUCUCUAUAGUUGUUUAGUAUGUUGUACCUUUUGCAAUAAGUUGAAGUCACUUAUUGAAUACCUCAUUAAAAUUUAUAAACAAGUAGUGCAUUACAAAAGAAUAAAAAGUUAAGAAAAAAAUGUUAAAAAGAGAAGAAACUCAUACUACCAUAAUAUUCUCUUCUUCUAAAGUCUUUAUGAAAUUAAAAACAGAAAAAAAAACAAAAAAAAAAGGUUUUUUUCAUUCUCUUUUAUUGGUGUUUGAGCAUAAAAAUAGAUGAGAGGGAGUAGAAAAAGAGAGAGAGUUUCUUUGUGUUUAUAGUUUUGUUUUUAAUUUUAUUUAUUUUAUAUUUAAUAGAUGGACGAAAAAAACAAAAGGUUCUUUUUUGUAUUUGAGAUUUUAAGGGAUUUGAUUUGAUAAGUGAGAGUGAUGUAGAAAACAAAAGUAAAAUUUGUGUGUGAGAUUGUAUUAUAAGAAAUUUAAUAAUCAAGUAAGACUAUUGUGAAAAGAGAAUUAAGAGUGUGACUAUAGAUGUCUGUAUAAGUACUCUAUACGUGGCGUUGAAAACUCCCGAUCUACUCCGGCGGUGCGGUUACACCGGUCGACUUUAUCGGAGGUGAGUGUUUAUGAAAAAAAAAUCAUCUUUUUCGUUUUACAAGAAAAAUAUUUUUUUUUUAAAUGACAAAAUGGAAAUGGAGUUUUUUUUAAGAUGAAAAUGGAGGAAGAUGGAAAUGGCAAAUGGAAAUGAUUUUUUUAAAAGAUGGAGAUAAAGUUUUUUUUAAGAUGGAAUUGAUUUUUUUAAAAGAUGGCGAUGAAGUUUUUUUUUAAGAUGGAAAUGGAAUAAGAUGGAAAGGGUAGAAGAUGAAAAUGAAGUUUUUAAAGAUGGAAAUGAGAAGUUUUUGUUAAUGGAAAUGGGAGAAGAUGAAAAUGUUUGAGAAUGGAUUUAGAAGUGUUUAUAAAGUUGUGUUUUGUUAGUGAAAAAGAAAUGAGAGUGAAAAAUUACUACAAGAAAGGUUGUAAGAAAAUGUCUUUGAGGAAGUUCAUGAGUCAAAAUUUUGCAACACAAGUUGUUUUACGUGGAAAAUUUAAUCUGGAAACAAAUAUAACUUUUAUUUUGAUUUCUUCUCUAUAGUUGUUUAGUAUGUUGUACCUUUUGCAAUAAGUUGAAGUCACUUAUUGAAUACCUCAUUAAAAUUUAUAAACAAGUAGUGCAUUACAAAAGAAUAAAAAGUUAAGAAAAAAAUGUUAAAAAGAGAAGAAACUCAUACUACCAUAAUAUUCUCUUCUUCUAAAGUCUUUAUGAAAUUAAAAAAAAAAACAGAAAAAAAGGUUUUUUUCAUUCUCUUUUAUUGGUGUUUGAGCAUAAAAAUAGAUGAGAGGGAGUAGAAAAAGAGAGAGAGUUUCUUUGUGUUUAUAGUUUUGUUUUUAAAUUUUUUUUAUUUUAUGUUUAAUAGAUGGAAGAAAAAACAAAAGUUUCUUUUUUGUAUGUGAGAUUUUAAGGGAUUUGAUUUGAUAAGUGAGAGUGCUGUAGAAAACAAAAGUAAAAUUUGUGUGUGAGAUUGUAUUAUAAGAAAUUUAAUAAUCAAGUAAGACUGUUGUGAAAAGAGAAUUAAGAGUGUAACUUAUGAGAUUAUAUAAUAAAUGUUGUUGUUUAGUUUUAUUUUUUUGAGAAUCUUAAUUAAUUUUAUAGAUGUAUGUUGUAUUAACAUUGAUUUGGCACUGUACAUAUAAAUGGCAGUCUAAGACUAGUUAGCUAUAUAUAGGCACAUAAGCCUCCCUCGUCAUGUGGGCUAGCCUAUUAUGCCACACCCCUUUGACUCACAAACAUUUUAUAACAAUAUUGCCACGCGUCGUACAAACAUUUUGCAGCAAUAUUCUCAUAUUGUACUGAUACUUUUUAGUUCAUUCAAAUUUGUAGUUUUUAAAUAUAAUUUUUACACUCAAAAUUAUUGUUUUAUUUAUUUAUUUAUCAUAUCAGUAUAUUUAGUGUUUGUUUAAUUUCAAUUUUAAUAGAGUUUAAAUCAAUUCAACAAUUGCAAAAUUGUUUUUAAAAUAUUUGAGUAUUAUUGAAUUAAAUUAAUUUUAUCUUCAAAAUAAAUAUUAACUUAAAAUUAAAAUUUGUGAUUUUAAAUUAAAAUGUCAUAUUUACUAUUGUACUAUUUUAUAAAAUACUAUUUUAUAAAAAAAAAUUAUUGUAUAAGACAAAUCAAUACUACUAGUACUAAUAUUAAUAAAAAUAUUUUAAUAACAAUGACAAGUAUUUUUAAUAAUUUAAAAAAUAAACUAAUUAUAGAAACACAUUUUUAUUUUAUUUUUUAUCUUCAAAGAAUAUAUAGUUAAGAAUGGAGAAUUCUUUAAAAUAAUUUCUCCACUCAUUUUUUUCUUUACCGCAUCCCCACUUAUUCUAAUUUUUGUUUUUAUAAUAAUAUCAAAUUACUCUAACUUUAACCAGCUACUCGUAAUAUAACAAGUAUUCAUCGAGAAGCUUUCAAUUGAUUUCUAAAUAUGAAUGCUUUAUUUUGAAAUGAAAAUGAAAUGUUAAAGCCACCAAAAGAUUAUAACAGAUAUAGUUAUAUUUGCUUUGUUAUGUUUUUAUGAAUUUUACUUAGGAUUGUAUAUGACUUAGAUUAUCAAAUACAGCAAAAUCAACUUGAUAAACCAAAAAAUAGUUUGAUCAGGUAAAUGAGUACAAAUUGGCAAUAAUAGUUUCACAUAAUAGUAAAAUGAUUUAAAAAAAAUGGCAUACUGAGUAAAAUUAAACCAAAUUCACUUUAUUUCUAUGCUUGCAAGUAUUUUAUGCAAUUUUAUGAAUUUUUCAACAUUGAUUAUAUUAAUGUUUGCAAUGUGAAUAUUAUAUGAUGGACUCUAUAUGAUUUUAAUAUUCUCGUUAAUUAUAUGUUUAUAUAUAAUAAAUAUUGAAAAAAUGAAAAAUAUAUGAUACACAAUUAAAUUAAGGUUGUGUUAUUUUUUUAGAAAUAUUAUAAUAAUUCGUCAUUAACAAUAAAAUUAAAACAAAAAGAAUGUGGAUAAUAUAGUAUUCAUAUUGUGGAUAAUCUAAUAAUACUUUACUCUAUAACUGAUUUUUGAAAACCAAGUUUAACCUAAUAACUCUCUAAAAAUUUGGGUUCUGGUUUUAGCCAAACCAACUCACGUAUAACCCGAAUUUUAUUAGUUUGUUUUAGUUGAUAUUUCAUAUUUGGAUAUUGUUUAGUUAUGUCUGUUUAUAUCAAUCUCAAAUCACUUCUUGUGUGAACAAAUUUCAAUUCAUAGCAAAUGUCUUUAUUGUUGAAUUUAAUUUAAUAUAAAAAUAUUUAAAUAUAAAUCACUUUACAUUAAUAUAUUUUUUUAACUAAAAUCAACUAUUUCAAAAUUAAUUUUAAUCGCUACAUAAUUAAACACAUAAUUGACUAUUUGGAUACGGUGCAAGUAGCAGUUCUCACGUUUGGAGCCAUGGUGAAGCAAAAGCUAAGCUUUUUAGUUUUUCAUAAAUGCGGGGUAGCAAUGAAUUACUGUUCUCCUAAUAUACAUUAGAUCAGUUUUCAUUUACCCAUUUUAACUUAAGUCAAUUAAUUAAAAAUCACUUUUUUCUCAGGGCAAAUGAAAAAAUAUAUAAUCCUUCGAUUUAUGGAUGUCAUGAGUUUUUUGAGAAUUUUUUCAAGAUCAAAUCAUCCGAUUUCAUACAUAUACACGCUUUUAAUAGAAGCCGAAUUUCACUUAUUUUCCUCUCUUAUUUUCAAAACUUUUUGUUAUUGAUAAGAUAAAAUUGGGGUAAAAUAAUUACACAUGUGCUUGAUAUGUUGUUCUUUUUCCUUUGAUGUUUACUAAUAAAGUUUUGUUAGGUGUUUAGUUAAUGCAUGUUUCCGAUAUAUUUUUAAUCUUAUUGUUUCUAAUAGCAAAUGCAUGUUAUCUAGAUCAGAUUAGUUAGUAUCUUAAGUUGGCAUAUAAAUGUGCAUUUAGGUUUGAAUCAUAUACAUCCAUGAUAAUAAACUUAAACAAAAAUAUGAGAAAAAAGAUGUACCUUAACAACGAUUUGCGAGUCAGUUUGAAUAAGAUUAUUGUAAAUAUCUUGCAGAAAUAAAUCCGACGUGUGCUUUCUAUUAGAUUGAUAUAUAUUUAUCCACCACCUUUGUAUGUAAUAUCUCAAAAUACCGUACACUCUUUUCUUUUUUAACGGCGAGCAAGUUGAAAAAUACAUGAAAGGUGAGGUGAGAAGGAGAUAAUGUGUUUGUGUUUAUGUAGAAAAAUACAUGAAAGGUGAGGUGAAAAGGAGAGAAUGUGUUUGUGUUUAUGGUUUCGUUUCUAAUUUUUUCAUUUUAUGUUUAAUGGAUGUUGGAAAAACAAGAGAUGUUGUAUGUGAGAUUUUAAGGGAGUUAAUUUUCAUGAGUGGAAGUGUGGUAGAAAAAAAUGAAAUUACAAAGAUCUAAUGAUAAGAGAUUUAAUCUGAACCAUUGAAUAUAAUUUAUCAAUGGUUGUGAAUGUUGUAUUCAUGAUCUUUAUGACUUAGUUUGAACCAAUCAAAUUAUUCUAUUAUAGAUCUAAUCUUGUCAUUUGAAUAUAAUUCAUCGAUGAUUGUGGAUUCAUGAUCCAUGUGAAUUGGUUUGGACCAAUAUAUUUAUUCUAUUAAAGAUUUAAUUUUGUUCUUUCAAUAUAAUUCAUCAAUGGUUGUGGAUUCAUGAUCUUUGUGACUUAAUUUGGACCAAUCAAACUAUUCUAUUUAAAGAUUUAAUCUUGUCCUUUCAAUAUAAUUUAUCAAUGCUUGUGGAUUCAUGAUCCUUGUGAUUUGGUUUGAACCAAUCAAAUUAUUCUAUUAAAGAUUUAAUUUUGUCCUUUCAAUAUGAUUCAUCAAUAGUUAUGGGUAGUUCAUCACAAAUCCUUGUGAUUUGGUUUGAAUCAAUUAAAUUGUUCUAUUAAAGAUACAAUCUUGUUUUCCUACAUGAGGAUUUUUUUUUUACUAUCUUGUGUGUAUAUGUGUUUGGUUAGAAUUUUUUAUUUUAUAAGACAAAUUAAUACUUCUAGUACUAAUAUUAAUAAAUAUAUUUUAAGAACAAUAAUAAAUAUAUUCAAUAAUUUAAAAUAUAAAUUACAUUUAAAAAUACAUUCUUUUUAUUUUUAUUUUUUAUCAUUAUGGAGUAUAUAGCUAAGAAUAGAGAGUUCUUUAGAAUAACUUUCUCACAAAAAGGUGAAUCAACACUACUAGUUAUGAAUAGAAAAUAUAUAUAUAUAUAUAUAUUGAAAGUGAUGAAGUUUAAAGAUGAAAAUGAGAGUAAAAAGAUUGAAAGUAAUAUUUAAAGAAAGAUGAUAUAGGAAUAAAGUGACAAACAUCUACAUAUUUAUUAUUCAUUUUUAUAUUGAAUUAAUAAAUUAAUUCCUCUGUUUUUAUUAAUAUAUUUAUUAUUUAUUUUUAUAUUGAGUUAACAAAUUAAUUCCUCUGUUUUAAUUUAUAAGACUCUUUUUAAUUUUUAUUUUAUUUGUUGUUUUGUCUUUUAGUAUAGGACUCUUUACAAAAUAAUUACACAUGUGUUUGAUACGUUGUUUUUUUUCCUUUGAUGUUUACUGAUAAAGUUUUGUUAGGUGUUUAGUUAACAGAUUAAGUCUAUAUAUAGAGACAAAUGACAAACAAAAUUAAUUUGAUAUAAUUGAAGUAAAAUAAUUAAAGUUGGCAUUGACGUUAAAUAUAUGUGACUUGAUUUGUUAUGUUGUUAUCUAUGUUUCUGAUACAUUUUUAAUCUUAUUGUUUCUAAUAGCAAAUGCAUGUUAUCUAAAUCAGAUUUGUUAGUAUCUUAAAUUGGCAAAUGCAUGUUCCUGAUCAGUUGUAGUAGCAAUGUAUGAUCCUAUUUUAGAAGAAAAAAAAUUAUAAGAAAAAUAUAUGACUUGAUAUAUGAAAUAAUACACUAAAAUACAAUAGAAUAGUAUAUUCUCUAUAACUUUAGAAAAAUCUACUUAGACUACUACAACUGAUCAGGAACGUGUAUUGAUUUCGUGAUCAUUAAUUAUUCUGAAUUCACAUUAUUUAAUGUUACAAAAACAUAAUAAAAGAAAGCAAAAAUAUAAAAAAGAACAACAACUUAACUAUACCAAACCUUUACGUUCGAAGACAUGAUUGUGACUAUAGAUGUCUGUAUAAGUACUCUAUACGUGGCGUUGAAAACUCCCGAUCUACUCCGGCGGUGCGGUUACUCCGGUCGACUUUAUCGGAGGUGAGUGUUUAUGAAAAAAAAAUCAUCUUUUUCGUUUUACAAGAAAAAUAUAUUUUUUUUAAAUGACAAAAUGGAAAUAGAGUUUUUUUUUUAAGAUGAAAAUGGAGGAAGAUGGAAAUAGCAAAUGGAAAUGAUUUUUUUAAAAGAUGGAGAUGAAGUUUUUUUUAAGAUGGAAAUGAUUUUUUUAAAACAUGGAGAUGAAGUUUUUUUUAAGAUGGAAAUGAUUUUUUUAAAAGAUGGAGAUGAAGUUUUUUUUCAGAUGGAAAGGGUAGAAGAUGGAAAUGAAGUUUUAAAAGAUGGAAAUGAGAAGUUUUUGUUAAUGGAAAUGGGAGAAGAUGAAAAUGUUUGAGAAUGGAUUUAGAAGUGUUUAUAAAGUUGUGUUUUGUUGGUGAAAAAGAAAUGAGAGUGAAAAAUUACUACAAGAAAGGUUGUAAGAAAAUGUCUUUGAGGAAGUUCAUGGGUCAAAAUUUUGCAACACAAGUUGUUUUACGUGUAAAAUUUAAUCUGGAGACAAAUAUAACUUUUAUUUUGAUUUCUUCUCUAUAGUUGUUUAGUAUGUUGUACCUUUUGCAAUAAGUUGAAGUCACUUAUUGAAUACCUCAUUAAAAUUUAUAAACAAGUAGUGCAUUUUAAAAGAAUAAAAAGUUAAGAGAAAAAUGUUAAAAAGAGAAGAAACUCAUACUACUAUAAUAUUCUCUUCUUCUAAAGUCUUUAUGAAAUUAAAAACAAAAAAAAAACAAAAAAAAGGUUUUUUUUCAUUCUCUUUUAUUGGUGUUUGAAAAUAAAAAAUUAUCAUUUUAAACAAAACCCAUAAAAAUAAUUAUCAUUUUAAAUAUAAUGCAAAUUUCAUCAAAUGCAUAACUCAAAUAUUCAAAUAAGCUAAUAUUUUCAUCUCCAACAAAAUCAAAUCUAUCAAAUAAAGAAUGAUCAUCAAGUAAAUAAAAAAUGACCAUUAAAUAAAUUCUUCCAACAAUUAUAUAUUGUAUGUGAUUUCAACAUUUUUUGAUAAAAAUAAAAAAAAUUAAAUUAUAAGUCUUUUAAAAGAUAAAAAACUUAUAUAAAACAAAAAAGAUUAAAGACCUAAAUAUUAUAAUUAAAUAAGAUAAAAAUGUAACUUUUACACAUAAAUCACCCUUAUUGAAGAACAAAGGAAAAUGUGAUCAAUAGAUAAACAAUGAUAGUUAUAGAAACAGAAAAUCUACAAUAGGAUUUGUUAUUGGGCGGUUAAAAAACAUGACCAGGCCCAUACUUCUUUUUGCUUAUUAAAGAGGACUAGUCUCUUUAGUUAGGUUUAUGUGAAUUUGAAUAAUUGCGAUUCCUUCGAUCCUUCUUGCCCAAUGUCCAUGGAUUCACUCUUGCUCCCCGUCACCCAACCACCCCCGGAAAUCUCCGAUGAAAAACAGCUGAAAUCGGUACCGGAUAAGCUAUCGGAACUGGUACUGGAACCAUAUAUUGCAUCGGAUACGGAAUCCGAAUAUGAAUCCGAAUCCGAAUCGGAAUCGGAGUCGGAAGUGGUACCGGAACAGGAACAAGAACUGUUACCGGAACAGGAUCCAGAACUGGUAGCGGAACAGGAACCGGAAUCUGAAUCGGAA